rnacentral:rRNA from 1 species
AAUGAACGCUGGCAGCAGGCCUAACACAUGAAAGUCGAGCGGAGGGGAGGACGGGGUAGUAAUGCCUAGGAAUCUGCCUGGUAGUGGUGGCUAACGUCCGGAAACGGGCGCUAAUACCACAGACUAUCAGAUGAGCAUAGGUCGGAUUAGCUAGUGGGUGGGGGAAAGGCCGACCAAGGCGACGAUCCGUAACUGGUCUGAGAGGAUGAAGAGUCACACUGGAACUGAGACACGGUCCAGACUCCUACGAGAGGCAGCAGUGGGGAAUAUUGGACAAUGGGCGAACGCCUGAGCCAUCCAUGCCGCUUGUGUGAAGAAGGUCUUCGGAUUGUAAAGCACUUUAAGUUGGGACGCGUUACCAACAGAAUAGGCACCGGCGAACUUCGUGCCAGCCGCCGCGGUAAUAC